AACCAGACUCCUACGGGAGGCAGCAGUGGGGGAUAUUGCACAAUGGGGGAAACCCUGAUGCAGCGACGCCGCGUGUGGGAAGACGGUCCUCUGGAUUGUAACCACUGUCCCCAGGGACGAAGAUGACGGUACCUGGGGAGGAAGCUCCGGCUAACUACGUGCCAGCAGCCGCGGUAAUACGUAUGGUGCAAGCGUUAUCCGGAUUUACUGGGCGUAAAGGGAGCGCAGGCGGCGCGCCAAGUCUGAUGUGAAACCCCGGGGCUCAACCCCGGGCAUGCAUUGGAAACUGGCGGGCUGGAGUGCCGGAGAGGUAAGCGGAAUUCCUAGUGUAGCGGUGAAAUGCGUAGAUAUUAGGAGGAACACCAGUGGCGAAGGCGGCCUGCUGGACGACAACUGACGGUGAGGCGCGAAAGCGUGGGGAGCAAACAGGAUUAGAUACCCCGGUA
rnacentral:rRNA from 1 species